rnacentral:rRNA from 1 species
GACGCCGCGUGGAGGACGAAGGUAUUAGUGUUGUAAACUCCUGUCACGGAUUAUGAAUGCACGUAUGCGAACAGUGUGCGUGUUGACGUAAGUUCGAGAGGAAGCACCGGCUAACUCUGUGCCAGCCCCUUCGGUGACUGAGCGGGCUGGCAAGGCGCAUA